GUAAUUUAAAUGUUUUUAUAGUUUAAAAAAAACAUUGGUCUUGUAAAUCAAAAAUAAGAAAUUUCUUUAAAAACU
rnacentral:tRNA from 1 species